CCUACGGGGUGCAGCAGUGGGGAAUUUUGGACAAUGGGCGCAAGCCUGAUCCAGCCAUUCCGCGUGCAGGAUGAAGGCCCUCGGGUUGUAAACUGCUUUUGUACGGAACGAAAAGGCUUUCUCUAAUACAGAGAGCUCAUGUCGGUACCGUAAGAAUAAGCACCGGCUAACUACGUGCCAGCAGCCGUGGUAAUACGUAGGGUGCAAGCGUUAAUCGGAAUUACUGGGCGUAAAGCGUGCGCAGGCGGUGAUGUAAGACAGGUGUGAAAUCCCCGGGCUUAACCUGGGAACUGCAUUUGUGACUGCAUUGCUGGAGUGCGGCAGAGGGGGAUGGAAUUCCGCGUGUAGCAGUGAAAUGUGUAGAUAUGCGGAGGAACACCGAUGGCGAAGGCAAUCCCCUGGGCCUGCACUGACGCUCAUGCACGAAAGCGUGGGGAGCAAACAGGAUUAGAUACCCUAGUAGUC
rnacentral:rRNA from 1 species